rnacentral:rRNA from 1 species
GAUGAACGCUGGCGGCGUGCCUAAUACAUGCAAGUCGAACGCAUAGCGAAAGGUGCUUGCACCUUUCAAGUGAGUGGCGAACGGGUGAGUAACACGUGGACAACCUGCCUCAAGGCUGGGGAUAACAUUUGGAAACAGAUGCUAAUACCGAAUAAAACUUAGUGUCGCAUGACACAAAGUUAAAAGGCGCUUCGGCGUCACCUAGAGAUGGAUCCGCGGUGCAUUAGUUAGUUGGUGGGGUAAAGGCCUACCAAGACAAUGAUGCAUAGCCGAGUUGAGAGACGGAGGGGCCACUGGGGGAGGGAAACACGGCCAAAACCCCUGGGGGGGGCGGAAGGGGGGAAUUUUCCAAAAGGGGGAAAAGCCUGAGGGGGAAACGCCGGGUGGGUGAAAAGGGUUUGGGGGUGGUAAAACUCUGUUUUAGGGGAAAAAAAGCUAAAAUAGGAAAUGUUUUUAUUUUGGGGGAACCAUAACAAAAAGGGAGGGCAAAAAACG